rnacentral:rRNA from 1 species
AUUGAACGCUGGCGGCAGGCCUAACACAUGCAAGUCGAGCGGAUGAAGGGAGCUUGCUCCUGGAUUCAGCGGCGGACGGGUGGGUAAUGCCUAGGAAUCUGCCUGGUAGUGGGGGAUAACGUCCGGAAACGGGCGCUAAUACCGCAUACGUCCUGAGGGAGAAAGUGGGGGAUCUUCGGACCUCACGCUAUCAGAUGAGCCUAGGUCGGAUUAGCUAGUUGGUGGGGUAAAGGCCUACCAAGGCGACGAUCCGUAACUGGUCUGAGAGGAUGAUCAGUCACACUGGAACUGAGACACGGUCCAGACUCCUACGGGAGGCAGCAGUGGGGAAUAUUGGACAAUGGGCGAAAGCCUGAUCCAGCCAUGCCGCGUGUGUGAAGAAGGUCUUCGGAUUGUAAAGCACUUUAAGUUGGGAGGAAGGGCAGUAAGUAAAUACCUUGCUGUUUUGACGUUACCAACAGAAUAAGCACCGGCUAACUUCGUG